GACUGUACAAAGGUAGCAUAAUCAUUUGUCUUUUAAUUGGAGACUGGAAUGAAUGGUUGGAUGAAAUAUAUACUUUCUUUAUUUUAUAGAAAUAAUUUGAUUUUUGAGUUAAAAAGCUUAAAUUUAUAUAGUAGACGAGAAGACCCUAUAGAACUUUACUUAUGAUAAUAUAAUUAUAUGAUGGAAUAUAUAUUAUUUUAUAUUAAAGUAAUUUUUGUUGGGGUGAUAGGAAAAAUUUAUUAACUUUUUUAUAUUCUUUCAUAUAUUAAUGUGAUUAUGAUCUUAUAUUAUAGAUUAAUAGAUUAAGUUACCUUAGGGAUAACAGCGUUAUUAUUUUGAAGAGUUCAUAUCGAUAAAAUAGUUUGCGACCUCGAUGUUGGAUUAAAAUAAAUAGUGAAUGUAGCAGUUUACUUAUUAGGUCUGUUCGACCUUUAAAUAUUUACA
rnacentral:rRNA from 1 species